rnacentral:rRNA from 1 species
AACGAACGCUGGCGGCAUGCCUAACACAUGCGAGUCGAACGAGACCUUCGGGUCUAGUGGCGCACGGGUGCGUAACGCGUGGGAACCUGCCCUUAGGUUCGGAAUAACUCCCCGAAAGGGGUGCUAAUACCGGAUAAUGUCUUCGGACCAAAGAUUUAUCGCCUUUGGAUGGGCCCGCGUUGGAUUAGCUAGUUGGUAGGGUAAAAGCCUACCAAGGCGACGAUCCAUAGCUGGUCUGAGAGGAUGAUCAGCCACACUGGGACUGAGACACGGCCCAGACUUCUACGGGGGGGAGGAGGUGGGAAUAUUGGACAAGGGGGCAAAGGCUUGACCCGCCAUGCCGGGGGGGGGAAGGAGGGCUUAGGGGUGUAAAGCUCUUUUUACCGGGAAGAUAAUGACCGUACCGGGGGAAUAAGCUCCGGCUAACUCCGUG